UACGGAGGGUGCAAGCGUUGUCCGGAUUUAUUGGGUUUAAAGGGUGCGUAGGCGGCUGAUUAAGUCAGUGGUGAAAGUUUUGGGCUUAACCCAGAAAUUGCCAUUGAUACUGGUCGGCUUGAGUAUUGGAGGGGUACAUGGAAUUGAUGGUGUAGCGGUGGAAUGCAUAGAGAGCAGGAGGAACACCGAUAGCGAAGGCAUUGUACUGGCCAAUAACUGACGCUGAUGCGCGACAGCAUGGGUAGCGAACAGG
rnacentral:rRNA from 1 species